rnacentral:rRNA from 1 species
AUGGCCCCCUUUGGCCCCAUGAAGCUUUGCCACUAUUGCCGACCAUCUUCCACUGCCUAUUGGAGCGAUUCCGCCAUCCUCAGCCUGCGCAACACCACAUCCCGCAGCCAACCAUCUUCCACUGCCAAUUGGAGCGAUUCAGCCGCUCUCAGCCUGCGGGGCACCACAUCUCGCAGCCACUAUAGUUCCACCAUUAGCGACUUCUUACAAGGAGUUGUGCAAGAGUAUCAACCCCGAUGA